UGGUGAAGUGACAUAUCAGAUACCAAGGCAGCAGUUCGAGAAUCUAAGCAAAGGAGUCCAUGAUGUUCUACAUGAUUUACAGUCGAUUAAAUCUGCAUUGAAUAUACAAGAUAAUGAUGAAGUAUAGAUCCUCAUUCUCUCAGAAUCUGUCUAAAAGACCUUAAAGGUUUCAUCUUUUUUGUUCCAACUCAGUUAAUACAAAUAGUUUGUAGUGAGAUCCAAAAGCUACCCAAAGGGUAGACACAAUAUAAUCUAUACACUGCAAAACAACGACAUUUUCGAGUUUACUCUUUCGUUCCUAACUUUAAGCCAGUAAAGAAAAAACACUGUUUUCAAACUAUAAUCCUGUCAACUAAAAUAUGGAGCUAAAUGUAUGCAUAAGAAUUUGUACCAGUGCAUCAACAAAAGAACAACCAUGUCACAAAGACUUACAGUGAUGAUCAGUAACAACGCAUCUUCAUCUGCGAGUCAAGAAAAGCUGGUUGAGAUGGGUUUGUUGUAAUCUGGAAGAGAUUGUAAACUGUGUAACAAGGCAUUGUGUUCUUCAGGUCUUGUUGUUAGGCUUUUCUUCAAGAACAAGAGGAGCUUUUGGAUUGACUCGAUUUUACAGAUACAUCUGCAGUUUGAGGAUCAAAAUUGGACAAUCGAGUCAAUUCAGAAUCUCCUAUUGUUCUUACGAAUUUGGGCCACAGUCCUCAAGCAAAUUACCUUAAGAAAAUCCCCAAAUCAAGAUCAAGAAACCAAAAUGGUUACAAAUCAAACAAUGAACAGAUCAACUCAACGAUCUAAAGCUUUGACUAUCAGAUCCAGCCCCACAGAUUAGCCGGAGAAUUCAUCGAAAACUAUUUUUUUUUUCUGUCUCAGAAAGAUAAAACGCUCUUCGUCAAAAUGUGAUUGGAAUAAUAAGUAGGUAAGGUGUAG
rnacentral:lncRNA from 1 species